rnacentral:lncRNA from 1 species
UUCAAAUUUAUCUUUGAAUAUAUAAGAACUUGUAGUUAUAUAAGAAAUAUUAAGAAUAUUAUGUAAUGACUUAAGAUACAAGCAUUUUCUAAGUUGUUACACACACAUAGUUUAUUGUUAUAUGCACAUUCAAAAAAAUAUAGAGGUUUAUAAUUGACUAGGUUUUUUUAUAUCAAUUCUACCAACUAUUACAAUUGUA